rnacentral:tRNA from 3 species
GGGGAUGUGGCGGAAUCGGUAGACGCAUCGGACUUAAAAUCCGGUGAUGGAAACAUCGUACGGGUUCGAGUCCCGUCAUCCCCACCA